rnacentral:rRNA from 1 species
UACGUAGGGUGCAAGCGUUAAUCGGAAUUACUGGGCGUAAAGCGUGCGCAGGCGGUUUUGUAAGACUGUCGGGAAAUCCCCGGGCUCAACCUGGGAAUGGCGAUGGUGACUGCAAGGCUAGAGUUUGGCAGAGGGGGGUAGAAUUCCACGUGUAGCAGUGAAAUGCGUAGAUAUGUGGAGGAACACCGAUGGCGAAGGCAGCCCCCUGGGUCAACACUGACGCUCAUGCACGAAAGCGUGGGAGCAAACAGG